GGCGGCCCAGCGGCGUCGGGGAGCACAGGCGUGUGGGGUGACGCGUGGAGCUGCUUGGGACUGUUGGUCUGAGGGCUGGUGAUAUACAGGACGCCGCGAGUGCCCGCAAGCCCCAAAGCGUGGCGAUAGUGGUGAGUACUAAGGAAGCUGCCAUUGUUGUGUUUGCAAGUCAUCACCUGCAGGAGGAACAUUGUGGGAGGAAGAAAUCAUGUCUGCUACAUCAACUAUUUAUUCAGGUACACACAAUAUGGGAAUG